CGGUAAUGCUGAUGGUGAUGUUGAUGGUGAUGCGGAUGGGGAUGGUGCAAGGGAUGAUGAUGCGGAUGGUAGUGCUGACGAACCGGAUGGUCAUGGUUCUCCGACGUGCUGCUAUCGUCGUCGUCGUCAUCACCAUCAUCAUCAUCUUCGGUA
rnacentral:pre_miRNA from 1 species